UACGAGGGGUCCUAGCGUUGUUCGGAAUUACUGGGCGUAAAGCGUGUGUAGGCGGCUUGGCAAGUCGGAUGUGAAAGCCCUGGGCUCAACCCAGGAAGUGCACUCGAUACUGCCGAGCUUGAGUAUCGGAGAGGUGGGUGGAAUUCUCGGUGUAGAGGUGAAAUUCGUAGAUAUCGAGAGGAACACCGGUGGCGAAGGCGGGUCUCUGGGCCGAUACUGACGCUGAGGAGCGAAAGCGUGGGGAGCGAACAGG
rnacentral:rRNA from 1 species